rnacentral:rRNA from 1 species
GAAACGACUGCUAAGACUGGAUAGGAGAUAAGAAGGCAUCUUUUUAUUUUUAAAAGACCUUUUUCGAAAGGUAUACUUAAAGAGGGGCUUGCGGCACAUUAGUUAGUUGGUAGGGUAAAAGCCUACCAAGACUAUGAUGUGUAGCUGGACUGAGAGGUUGAACAGCCACAUUGGGACUGAGACACGGCCCAAACUCCUACGGGAGGCAGCAGUAGGGAAUUUUCGGCAAUGGAGGAAACUCUGACCGAGCAACGCCGCGUGAACGAUGAAGUAUUUCGGUAUGUAAAGUUCUUUUAUUGAAGAAGAAAAAAUAGUGGAAAAACUAUCUUGACGAUAUUCAAUGAAUAAGCCCCGGCAAACUAUGUGCCAGCAGCCGCGGUAAUACAUAGGGGGCGAGCGUUAUCCGGAAUUAUUGGGCGUAAAGGGUGCGUAGGCGGUUUGGUAAGUCUAUAGUUUAAUUUCAGUGCUUAACACUGUUCUGCUAGAGAAACUAUCAGACUAGAGUGAGAUAGAGGCAAGUGGAAUUCCAUGUGUAGCGGUAAAAUGCGUAAAUAUAUGGAGGAACACCAGAGGCGUAGGCGGCUUGCUGGGUCUUUACUGACGCUGAGGCACGAAAGCGUGGGGAGCAAACAGGAUUAGAUACCCUGGUAGUCCACGCCGUAAACGAUGAGUACUAAGUGUCGGGGAAACUCGGUACUGAAGUUAACACAUUAAGUACUCCGCCUGAGUAGUACGUACGCAAGUAUGAAACUUAAAGGAAUUGACGGGACUCCGCACAAGCGGUGGAUCAUGUUGUUUAAUUCGAAGAUACACGAAAAACCUUACCAGGUCUUGACAUACUCUGCAAAGCUAUAGCAAUAUAGUGGAGGUUACCAGGGAUACAGGUGGUGCAUGGUUGUCGUCAGCUCGUGUCGUGAGAUGUUAGGUUAAGUCCUAAAACGAGCGCAACCCUUGUCACUAGUUGCCAGCAUGUUAUGAUGGGCACUUUAGUGAGACUGCCAAUGAAAAAUUGGAGGAAGGUGAGGAUCACGUCAAAUCAUCAUGCCCCUUAUGAUCUGGGCUACAAACGUGAUACAAUGGCUGUUACAAAGAGUAGCUAAAACGCGAGUUUAUAGCCAAUCUCAUAAAAGCAGUCUCAGUUCGGAUUGAAGUCUGCAACUCGACUUCAUGAAGUUGGAAUCGCUAGUAAUCGCGAAUCAGCAUGUCGCGGUGAAUACGUUCUCGGGGUUUGUACACACCGCCCGUCA